rnacentral:rRNA from 1 species
GAUGAACGCUGGCGGCGUGCCUAAUACAUGCAAGUCGAGCGAACAGACGAGGAGCUUGCUCCUCUGACGUUAGCGGCGGACGGGUGAGUAACACGUGGAUAACCUACCUAUAAGACUGGGAUAACUUCGGGAAACCGGAGCUAAUACCGGAUAAUAUAUUGAACCGCAUGGUUCAAUAGUGAAAGACGGUUUUGCUGUCACUUAUAGAUGGAUCCGCGCCGCAUUAGCUAGUUGGUAAGGUAACGGCUUACCAAGGCAACGAUGCGUAGCCGACCUGAGAGGGUGAUCGCCCACACUGGAACGUAGACACGGUCCAGACUCCUGCGGGAGGCAGCAGUAGGGAAUCUUCCGCAAUGGGCGAAAGCUUGACGUAGCAACGCCACGUGAGUGAUGAAGGUCUUCGGAUCGUAAAACUCUGUUAUUAGGGAAGAACAAAUGUGUAAGUAACUAUGCACGUCUUGACGGUACCUGAUCAGAAAGCCGCGGCUAACUACGUG